GGUGGGGUUCCCGAGAGAUCAAAGGGAGCUGACUGCAAAUCUGCCGUCAUCGACUUCGAAGGUUCGAAUCCUUCCCCCACCACCA
rnacentral:tRNA from 1 species